AGCCGCAAUUAGUGCUAAGGUAGCAUAAUCAUUUGUCUUUUAAAUGAAGACUAGAACAAAAGAUAUUAUAUUUAAAUAUAUAUAUUUAAUUCUUUUAUUAAAUUUAUCUUAAAUAUAAAAAGAUAUUUAUUUAAAAAAAAGACGACAAGACCCUAUUGAACUUAACUUAAGUUAAACUGGGGCAGUUAAUUAAUUAAUAUUUUAAAGUCAAACCUUCACAAAAAAUCCAAAACAAUUGAAUUACUAAGUUACCAUAGGGAUAACAGCACAAUUUUCUUUUAAAGCUCUUAUUAAAAAAAAAGAUUGKGACCUCGAUGUUGAAUUAAUAACCUAAUUACUAAAGCAAAUUUUAAAAAAGGAAGUCUGUUCGACUUGUAAAAAAUUACAUGAUUUGAGUUCAGACCGGUGUAAGCCAGGUCGGUUUCUAUCUUUUAUAAAUAAUUUUACAGUACGAAAGGACCUAAAGAUUCAAUAUUAUUGAAUUUAUUUGGCAGAUCAAUGCAUUAGAAUUAGAAUCUAAUAAAACU
rnacentral:rRNA from 1 species